AAAGAAUUUAUUACAUCUUUAAACAUUCAACUGCCUAAGAAUCAGAGCACUGAAGCUCUGUUCAGCAACUGCUUAUACAUUUAGGUUAAAUUUAGUAUUAGUUAGUGAUUGGAACCAGUGAGGAUUUCAUAAUCAAUAUUGAAUAAUCAGUUUACCGCAACUAACUAUCGAUUAUUAGUUUUAUAUUUUAUGUUUAGUGCUAAAUAAAUGGGAAUAAACAAGAUACAAUUAACUGACUUGUUACUAGGCCUUUUGUAUCAAUGUAAUUAGUAUUUCUUGCCAUAAAAAUGCUGUAUUCAAAAGAUUUUCUGUAGUAGGCAGUCCAACAUUAAUUUCUUGUAAAAUGAAUAUGUUCAAACCCAAGGACGUGCUUUAUUUCCUGUGUAAGUAUAUGGAGCUUGUCUAACAUGUCAGUCAUUUUCAGACCUUUUUAGUGUUUAGAUACUUCGCGUCUAGAAUAUUCUGUUUAUGAUAUGCGCUCAUUAAAAGGGAAAAAAAACUCAACUGAUUAAUUGUAAUGAAACCUUUUAUGAUCGAGCACUUAGAAUGUGGUAACAAUCGACUGAUUUUCAAUUAUAAAUGAUAUUUGGAACAUCACUUGUAUUAGUACAUAAUCAAAAUACUUCCUACUUUAGGCCUAACAAAAAAAUAGGUUUGUUUCUGCUUUCCUGACCGACCCUAACUUGAACCCGCCGACCCAAAAAAAAAUUUCUGAGUUUUUUCGUAAAUUUCUGUUUUUAUUCGUUUUUUGUUAAAAUUUUCUUUUUUAUCCGAUUUAAAAAUUUAUUGUGUCCUCUAAAUUUAAGUCGUAAAAACGCUUAUAGAACUUAUUUAGAUGUCAUCAGUAUUGUGUAGAUGUUUGUUAUUUACAAAUGGCAGCACGUCCGUGAUGUCCUGCCAGUUGAGCUCGAGAAAUGUUCCCACCAGCCGGGAAAAAGUUCAUCAGUUCAUUAUCCUCUGGGCUUUCAUUAAAUACUUGUUUUUUUUUUAUCUUACCCAGUUUAAUAGAUAAAUGGUUUAAUAUGCACAAUUGAACAAAUGGAGAGGUAAAAAAAAAAAAGCCUACCUACCGACCCUAAUUUUUUUCAGCCUGAAAGCGGAAACAAACCUAUUUUUUUGUUAGGCCUUAUCUUGUAUGCAGCAAUUCUACAAUAUAAAUCGAGAUUACAAUACUGUCCCAUUUUCUAUUUCAAUCUCUUUACACCAGGAAUGCGUAUACUAACUAGCUAAGUAUUCUCAUAUAUAUAAGCCCCCGUUUACACUUAAUAUUUCAUAGCUCUCGGUCUGAAAAUUUUUUCGGAUGGACGACAUGGGAGCUACAGUUCUGUACAUGUUAAAAAGUUGCUGUUUAAAGCGCACAUAAAAAUUGCGCUAGUUUUGGACUGAUUAUUCCUUAUUUCUGAAUAUAUUCUAUAAAAAUAAUUCCUUGGACAUUUUACUACAGAUAUCGUCAAUUCACUUGCAUCUGAUAUUUUAUUAAACACCAUCACUUGCCCCGUUAGGCGAAGUGGUGCAGUUUGUUUACAAGAAAAAAUGGCAGGUCAUGAUCUGCAUGUGAAUUACAUACCGGUACUUCAUUUUCAACUAGUGUUGUAAAAUCGGAACAAUUUUACUAUCGAUUAUCAGAUUGAAUCGGCAGCUCACAAUCGAUUGUAAAAUCGAUUAUGUAAACUUUCAAAUUCCAGCAAAGAUUUUUUUUUCAUCCUGUCAAUGAGUGAAAGAUACCAGCAUAAAAGAAAAAACCUUUUUUAAAUUUAUAAUUCGUAUAUAAAUUAUCAUUUUCAUGAACUUAUUUUCAAAUGAAUUAAAUAUUAUACUUAGAGGCCAACCUAGGGCAAAAUUUUAAUUGAUAUUGGAUUAGAAGCAAGAUAAUCAAAAUAAAACUUCUAAAAUUUGUAAAACCUUAUCCAAUUUGUUAAAUUUAAUUGAUCUGAUACAUUCACACAUUUUAUACAUUAAAUGCAUACAUGCCAACUAUCCCGAUUUUUGCGGGAUUCUCCCGAUUUCACGUCAUCAAAAAUACAAAUCCCGAUAUCCCGAUCGGGAUUGUCAAAAUACCCCGAAAUCCCGAUUCUCAAAAAAUCCAACCCGUUUUACGACAAUAAGUCCCGAUUUCCAUCUAAAAUUUCAAAUCCCGCGCUGCUUGUCUACGCUAACCAAUCAAAAAGCGGGAUUAUGACCGCCAUUGCUGUUUACCUGUAUCGCGUGUGUGUAUAUGGGGAUGUGUGAAUUGGUGUAAUUACCUGUACGCUACCUGUGUCUGGGUGUUUGCAAACCUAAUGAGGAGCAUGUUUUGAUAGUAAUUAAUCGGGAAGUAUCGGGACAAACAGCAAAAUGCCACACUUUAAGUUUUUACAAAAACUUCGACAAGAAUGGGGUUACACCAUCAAAGAAAACGAAACUUUUAUCCCAAUAUCGGGAGGCAGAUUCCCGAUUUUCGGGAUGACUAUUGGGAUCGUAAUUGGAUGACAACCAUGUAUAUUGCCAUGCAAUAGGUAUGUUUAACUUAUAUAUAGUACAAUUGAAUAUAUUUAUUUGCAGGGUACAUUUUAUUGUGUACACAUGACACUAUUAAAGGAGAGAUUGACAGCUAAUACAUUAUCUACAAGAAGAAUAGAUAUGUUAAACUUUAUGAGUAACAAUUCUUUAUUUUUAUUUUGAGGGAUUUUAGGGUAGACCAUGGUGGAAUGAAUGGUGUUACAAAGAACAUGAAAACAGCUAUCCAUCAAGCCACCUGCUGCUACCAACUUCUUUGUGAAAUCAAAAUUGGAGCAAGAUGAAGAUGUCACAAGAGCAGAGCUAGGUCCUGUUUGCCAACUGCGUGCAGAACUUAGUGCUUUUUGAACUGCUAUACCAUACUAUUUCUUGUUUGUUGAGAUUUUAAAGAUUGAUUUUAAUUAAUAAAGAUUGAUUUAAUAUAUGAAAAAAGUUAUGUACUUUAUUUAUGAUUUCAUUUGAAAGAGGAGAGUGUUUGAUAAACACAUUAGGAAUAAUGUUAAAUAGAUAAAGAAACAGAUGACUUUCUAAGAGUUCAAUUGUUUAAACAAAGCAAUUACACGACAAAAUGCCGCGAAAUUUCCUUCUAGGAAAAUGUCGUCGCGCGUAAAAUCCCCCAUGGAGAUUUUCAAAAGUUGGCAUGUAUGUAAAUGUUUUGUACUUCCUUAAGUUAAAUGACAAAUAAAAUCAGACCAUGUUCUUUUCUGUAUUUUGGAGGUAUUAGUGCAACCCUUAACCCAAUUACAACCGUUAUGUAGCAGAUCUGUUAAAUUUUGAAGACAACUGUAAACAAACGUUUUAUAAUUAUUUUUGCAAUAAUUUGGCAGUAUUAUUAACUAUAAUUACAAGUUUCAAACUAUAAUUGUAAUAAUGGCAUGAAACGUAAUAGACAUCGGUUGUAAUUUUCAAUGCACAGUAUCACCCGUUUUUAUAACACAUGAAGAUAAGACAGUCGCAAGUUACUAAUCACAACAGGGUCUAACUGAGCUUGUGAAAACGUCUUAUGAAUUUGAUAAUUAUUAUUUUAUUGCAUUUGGGUUAAAUUCACAAGAUCGUAAACUCAGAAUAAAGUGCGACUUCAACUUCUCUUUCGGAGGAAAUUCCGGCGAAAUUCCGAUCACAAAGCAGGUCGCCCCCUAGGUUGGUCACUGUAUAUAAUACCAGAGACAUUAAUAACAUGUUAUCUAUGUCUCUGGUAAUACUUAAGUCUUUUUAUGGAUAUUGCUACGCAGUAAAAGGUCAUCUGUCACGUGACUGAAUUUUUGCGACUAUCGAUGAUAAAAACUUACUAUCGAUUGUCGCCGACUUGCUGCCUUCAGUGACGAUUUUUCGAUAGUCCGCUACAAUCGUAACAACACUAUUUUCAACGGUCUGUUAACAUCAUUUUUAAAAGAAAGACUGAGGCAAGUAAAGUGAAAUCGUUAGUAAAUUUACUAAAAUGCCUUAAGAAUUUAAUAGUUCUUGUUUUUUCCACAGAAUUUGUGUAGAAAAAAGGUAAAUCAGUCAAAAACUAUACUGGUGUGCAGCAUGCAACUAAUUCUUGCCAAGUACUAUUUCUCGCAAGUGCAUUAUUACAUCAGUUUUAACACAUACAGAACUGUGGCUCCCAUGACAUCAAUCCCCAAAUUUUAUUUAGACUGAGAGCUAUAGACCUGAAGUUAAUAUUUCAAUGUAACAGGUGGUGAAAAGUCAAGUCUCAACCAGGACUCGAACCCAGGGCCUCUGGCGUACCGUGCCGGCGCUCUAACCACUGAGCAAUUGAGACCUGAUAUAUUGACUGACAGUCACACACCUGUGAACCCCGUGACAUAAUUGUCACAGUUCAUAUUAAUUUAUUUAUUUAAUGUUCAUCAGCGCGCAUUGCUGAUAGAACGCAUUGCUGUAUGUAUGAAUGAGUGCAUGUGUGAAUGUUGUGAUAAGUCACGUGGUUUUUCCAUUUUUAGGAUUUAGUGACCAGGUACAUGUAUACAUGUCUCAUUGACCAAUGACAGACGACUUUUAACUCAUUAAUAUGCAUGUUUUAUUAACUUCGCUCACU